UACGGGGGGAGCAAGCGUUGUUCGGAUUUACUGGGCGUAAAGGGCGCGUAGGCGGCCACCGCAAGUCGACUGUGAAAUCUCCGGGCUUAACUCGGAAAGGUCAGCCGAUACUGCGGGGCUAGAGUGCAGAAGGGGCAACUGGAAUUCUCGGUGUAGCGGUGAAAUGCGUAGAUAUCGAGAGGAACACCGGCGGCGAAGGCGGGUUGCUGGGCUGACACUGACGCUGAUGUGCGAAAGCUAGGGGAGCGAACGGG
rnacentral:rRNA from 1 species